rnacentral:rRNA from 1 species
GCAGUAGCCACGGUAAUACAGAGGGUGCGAGCGUUAAUCGGAUUUACUGGGCGUAAAGCGUGCGUAGGCGGCUUUUUAAGUCGGAUGUGAAAUCCCUGAGCUUAACUUAGGAAUUGCAUUCGAUACUGGGAAGCUAGAGUAUGGGAGAGGAUGGUAGAAUUCCAGGUGUAGCGGUGAAAUGCGUAGAGAUCUGGAGGAAUACCGAUGGCGAAGGCAGCCAUCUGGCCUAAUACUGACGCUGAGGUACGAAAGCAUGGGGAGCAAACAGGAUUAGAUACCCCAGUAGUCCCUGUCUCUUAUAC